GCGCAACCCUUGUCCUUAGUUACCAGCACGUUAUGGUGGGCACUCUAAGGAGACUGCCGGUGGACAAACCGAGGAAGGUGGGGAUGACGUCAAGUCAUCAUGGCCCUUACGGCCUGGGCUACACACGUGCUACAAUGGUCGGUACAAAGGGUUGCCAAGCCGCGAGGUGGAGCUAAUCCCAUAAAACCGAUCGUAGUCCGGAUCGCAGUCUGCAACUCGACUGCGUGAAGUCGGAAUCGCUAGUAAUCGUGAAUCAGAAUGUCACGGUGAAUACGUUCCCGGGCCUU
rnacentral:rRNA from 1 species